CUCUAUUAAAUGAAAAAGUGAGUAGAUUACUCUAUUUAAUGGAAAGAUAAAUGUUAUUACUUUAUUAAAUGGGAAGGUGAGGAGAUUUUUUGAUUAAAUGGAAAGGUAAAUAGAAGAUGAAAGGAUUAGUCUAUUAAAUAAUAAGGUAAAUGAAAAGGUGAAGAGACGACACUAGGAGAUAAAUCGAAUACAUGAAAGGAAGUAUUUGGUAGAGGUGGGUCUAAUAUUCAAUAGAAAGAAUAGAGAAUGUGAUAAUAACACCGGUAGCUAGGUGGGUCCAAAUUCACCGGAAUUCUGCCACGUCGGAUAGAAGUCACGGGAAUUAAAUAGUUUUGUAUAGAUGUAUAGAUGUACAAGUUUUCUUCUUUAAACUAAGAUUAUUAUUUUUCUUGGUGGGAUUUACAUAGAAAUUUUCCCAUAUGGUGCUCCUACAAAAGGUGGAGCUUUUCUAAGUUGUAUCAAAACUCUAUUUUAGUCCAAAUCUUUUAAAAUAAAAUUAAUAAUUUUUGAAUUUUGAAUAAUGUACUAAAGUAGCCUGUUCUAUUAUUUGAUGUUAAGUACAUAAAAUAGGAAGGUGGUACAUAAAAUUUGUCAUUAGAAAUUUUUUUUUUUUUUUUUAGAGAGAUAGGUAGUUUGCUAUCCGUUUUGUUUAUUUCAUUUAAAAAGAAACUUAGUUUGAAAUAUGAAUCAACUAGGAUUCAAACAUGGGAUCUCGAGUACCAACUACUAAAUCUUUUGCCACCUGCACUAGGGACGAAUUUCUCAGGCUGUAGGCUAAAAGGCCUUCUCCUAUUCUACAUCUUCUGAUAUUUUAGUAAGUUAUCCUUCUCACAUGUGAUUUUACAGUCAAGUCCUUCUUACUAAGGAAUUUGCAACUAGACCUAUACUGUAUAGAAUUUCACAAUAGACCGAUUCUUAAAAUUUUAUAAUAAAAUCCUUUCGAGUUUCAACACUACAAAUAUUCCCCCAUUUGAAUUAAUACUUUUCCUCGGAAAAUUUAUAAAGGAAUUUUGCUACGAGGUUUUUCUCACUCUUGAAAUUGCGAGACCAAAUAUAGUGAAUUUUACCGUGACGUCCUACGUUCAGUUUGGCUUGAAUUGAUUUUUUUUUUUUUUUUUUUUUUUUCCUUUGAUCUAAGUUUGACACAAUUCAAAAUUGCUUAAUAUUAAUCAAAUUUUCAUUCAAAAGCCGAUUGAAACUAAAACUAAAAUCAAGGGCGAACCUUGACCUUAUUUUAUGCCAAUUUCUUUUUAAAAAAUAAGUAUUUAGUUAAAACUUAAAUUCAAAUUUUGCAUAUUCAAAAUGAGAAUAUCAUAAUUAUAGAGACACUUUCAUAUAUCUUUUUAAAAUAAAUGAUUCCAGGAUGGACAAGUCAAGCAGGUGAGGUUGUAUUUUGCCACCCCUGACCAUAUAUAUAUUGUUCAUGAAGCACAAGUUCACCCUCUGCCAUACGCUUUGCACUAGNUCUCUCUCUCUCUCUCUCUCUCUCUCUCUAUAUAUAUAUAUAUAUAUAUAUAUAUAUAUAUAUAUUCCUCUAGAUAGAGAGAGAUUUGGUGAGGGAUAAAAGUCGACAACACCGAUGCCAUCGCGGGCCUUAUCGACGAUGUGUAUGAUAUAAUGGAGAGCGGUCGAAUGGCUCCAUCGAUUAUGCCCAUGGCAUUAGGAGAACAAACGCUACACGUUUUAAACUUUGGGAAAGAAUAAGCUAAAUUGGAAGGAUGCCUAAUUAAAAGCAUGGCAUUCUCGUUUUCUCCACUAUUACUCUAUUAAAUGAAAAAGUAAGUAGAUUACUCUAUUAAAUGAAAAGAUAAAUGCUAUUACUUUAUUAAAUGGGAAGGUGAGGAGAUUUUUUGAUUAAAUAGAAAGGUAAAUGAAGAUGAAAGGAUUAGUCUAUUAAAUAAGAAGGUAAAUGAGAAGGUGAAGAGACAAUACUAGGAGAUAAAUCGAAUACAUGAAAGGAAGUAUUUGGUAGAGGUGGGCCUAAUAUUCAAUAGAAAGAAUAGAGGAGGUGAUAAUAACACUGGUAGCUAGGUGGGUCCAAAUUCAUCAGAAUUCUGCCACGUUGGAUAGAAGCCACGGGAAUUAAUAGUUUUGUAUAGAUGUACAAGUUUUCUUCUUUAAACUAAGAUUAUUAUUUUUCUUGGUGGGAUUU
rnacentral:lncRNA from 1 species